CCCAUUUUGGCAGAAUUUUAUUGCAAAAGACUUAGAAUCUUAACAACCUAUC
rnacentral:tRNA from 1 species